AUUGAACGCUGGCGGCAGGCCCAACACAUGCAAGUCGAGCGGAGCUGCGGACGGGUGAGUAAUGCCUAGGAAUCUGCCUGGCCGUGGGGGAUAACGUCCGGAAACGGGCGCUAAUACCGCAUACUAUCAGAUGAGCCUCGGUCGGAUUAGCUCGUUGCUGUGGUAAAGGCCUACCAAGGCGACGAUCCCUAACUGGUCUGAGAGGAUGAACAGUCACACUGGAACUGAGACACGGUCCAGACUCCUACGGGAGGCAGCAGUGGGGAAUAUUGGACAAUGGGCGAAAGCCUGAUCCAGCCAUGCCGCGUGUGUGAAGAAGGUCUUCGGAUUGUAAAGCACUGUAAGUUGGGAGGCGUUACCAACAGAAUAAGCACCGGCUAACUUCGUGCCAGCCGCCGCGGUAAUUC
rnacentral:rRNA from 1 species